rnacentral:rRNA from 1 species
CCUACGGGAGGCAGCAGUGGGGAAUAUUGGACAAUGGGCGAAAGCCUGAUCCAGCAAUGCCGCGUGAGUGAUGAAGGCCUUUGGGUCGUAAAGCUCUUUUACCAGGGAUGAUAAUGACAGUACCUGGAGAAUAAGCUCCGGCUAACUCCGUGCCAGCAGCCGCGGUAAUACGGAGGGAGCUAGCGUUGUUCGGAAUUACUGGGCGUAAAGAGUACGUAGGCGGUUAUUCAAGUCAGAGGUGAAAGCCCGGGGCUCAACCCCGGAACUGCCUUUGAAACUAGAUAACUAGAGUCUUGGAGAGGUUAGUGGAAUUCCGAGUGUAGAGGUGAAAUUCGUAGAUAUUCGGAAGAACACCAGUGGCGAAGGCGACUAACUGGACAAGUACUGACGCUGAGGUACGAAAGCGUGGGGAGCAAACAGGAUUAGAUACCCUGGUAGUCCACGCCGUAAACGAUGAUAACUAGUUGUUCGGUCACUUGGUGACUGAGUGACGCAGCUAACGCAUUAAGUUAUCCGCCUGGGGAGUACGGUCGCAAGAUUAAAACUUAAAGGAAUUGACGGCUGAGANGCGACGACGACACGAGGAGAG